UACAGAGGGGGCGAGCGUUUGUUCGGAAUUACUGGGCGUAAAGGGCGCGUAGGCGGCCCGCUAAGUCGAACGUGAAAAUCCCCAGGCUCAACCUGGGAACUGCGUCCGAUACUGGCAGGCUUGAAUCCGGGAGAGGGAUGUGGAAUUCCAGGUGUAGCGGUGAAAUGCGUAGAUAUCUGGAGGAACACCGGUGGCGAAGGCGGCAUCCUGGACCGGUAUUGACGCUGAGGCGCGAAAAGCUAGGGGGAGCAAACGGGGAUUAGAUACCCC
rnacentral:rRNA from 1 species